rnacentral:lncRNA from 1 species
AUAGGCCCUACUGAAUUAUUAGUGUUGUAUUAAUAAAGAUGUCGGUAGUUUGAUAUUUAAAAACAUGGUAUAUUAUUAUAUAUAUAUUCAGUAGAUAAUGUGUUAAGAUGAACAAUCUUUCAAUUAUGAACCAUAGCUGCUUCAUUUUUUUGUCAGUACUUCAAUAUUCUCUUCUGAGUUUUGUCAUACUUAGAAUUAUUUCAUUCAUUAGUAACUAUCUUAUUACAUUAUACUAUACUUUACUUUAUAUCGGGUGGCUAAGCUUUUCAACAGACCAGCCAGCCAAAUUUCAGAAAUAUUAUUUCCUGCUGGCCCGUGCACCUAAUUUUUUUUUUUGUUAAAGCAAACAAGCAAGCCUGCUACAGCUUCGACCACAUCGUCGCUUCACAGCAGGUGAGAUUGUGGUCAAA